CAGUCGCCAUUCACCAUGUUUCUUUCUUUCAUUUUCUUUCACCAUAGUUGCUGAUCUGCUAGGCCUUAAUCAGAUGCAGAAAAUAUUACUGAUAGAGGGAGAGACAGAGUCUCAAGAAAAAAAAAAAGGAGAUUGAAAUGGAAGCAAUGCCACAUGCCUAUGUUAUGUUGCCUUAUUUAUUGCGGGUUGCAUACUUCUACAAAGAGAGGACGAAUUUUGUAGAGUCCGUUGAUGAGUUUAUCUGUGUAUUGGCAAAAAGCUGCCCUCAGCAAACCAAUGGGUAUACAUUGAACAGCGUUAUGGAAAGUUCCUCGCCAAUCCAUCUAAGUUCCAAUUCUCAUAUGCAAUGCAAGAAUAUGUAUUAAGGAUUCGAAUGAAGGAGUCGAAGCCAUGGAAAUGCGUAAAUCAUUUGUUGAUUCCACUAAAUAAGCGCAACUAAAUAACUGAAAUCCUUUUACGAGUAGCGGACGGAUCAUGUAGACUCCAUUGAUGAGUUUACAUGUGAAUUGGCACAAAAUUCCCCUCAGCAAAGUAACGGUGGUGACUGUGGCAUAUUUACAUUCAAGACCAUCGAGUUUUUACAUGCUAGAUUACCAGUGACAUUCACACAAGAUGACAUGGAGUUCUUUAGGAGGAAAUAUGCAUAUGAGGCUUACAACAAAUAACUAAGCAUAUGAGCUGGGUGGUGAUGUAUUUUUCUUUCCUUUUGUCAUGUUUAUAGAUGCAUGUUCUUUAUUAUAUUAGACUUUUAAUUGAAAAGAUAAUGGUGGUUUAUAAUGUUCAUUUAACAAAGAUAAUGAUGUAUUAUUGAUAUAAGGAUAACUAA